AUGGAGAGAGAGAGAGGGGGGGGGGGGAAGCAUGUGGUCAUGCCUAGCAUGACCAUGUCCUCGGCCCUUCCAUACCCCACCUUCAUGUGGCUACUUUCUAUCGUACCAUCUCUCCCCCAACUCUGGAUGCCCCAAUACUGUUUGGGUGGCGCAGUUCCAUUACUUCCAUAUGCAUCUGUCUCUGGACCCUUGAUAUCACUUGACAAUAAUAUGGAUUUAUGCGGUGAACAUUUUUAUGGUGUAAAACCAUGUGAAGUACCAAAGCUUGAAAGAGAACGACAAAGCAAUAAGCAUCCAAGCAUUGGAGGCUACAGAUCAGUCUUCAGAGUUGAGUUUGAAGGGGGGAAGAUUUUUGUAGUCAAGCUCCUCCACUCAAUGGAAGAAUACAGCGACGAGGGGACAUUUCAUGCUGAGAUUGAAAUACUGACGAAAAUAAGGCACCGAUGCAUCGUCCAGCUGUAUGGAUUAUGUUCCCACUCCCGGUGCAAAAUUCGCGUGUAUGAUCUUAUCGAGAGGGGAAGCUUAUCGUGUAUUCUGCAUGAGCAAGAGCUAGCGAUGGAGUUAAAUUGGCCCAGGAGAGUUGUUGUCGUGAGGGAUGUAGCUCAAGCUCUCUCCUACUUGCACCAUGACUGCGACCAUAUAAUCGUGCAUCGUGACAUAAAAAGCAGUAAUAUUCUUGUGAACCUUGAUUAUAAAGCUUAUGUCUCGGACUUUGGCAUGGCGAGUGUUGACAUCGGUCUUUUGGUUGCAUUGGCCAGAGCAUGCACUUCUACUGCGAGGAAGCUGAAGCACAGUUACUCAAGCUGGAGCUCUAUCUUUGCAGGGACAUGUGGCUACAUAGCCCCAAAAUUGCCAUCUACCAUGUUAUUGACAGAGAAGUGUGACGUGUACAGCUUUGGCGUGGUUGCGCUGGAAGUUUUGAUGGGAAAGCACCCGGCUGAUUUGCUCCUUCCAUUCUUCUGCGGAACAGCAGCCGGAAAAACUCAAAGACAUCCUGGAUCAACGCGUCACAGCACCGUCAAGCGUUGA
rnacentral:rRNA from 1 species